CUACGGGCGGCACCAGUGGGGAAUAUUGGACAAUGGGGGAAACCCUGAUCCAGCAAUGCCGCGUGUGUGAAGAAGGCCUGCGGGUUGUAAAGCACUUUCGGUUGGGAGGACUGCUUCUAGCACUAAUAUUGUUGGAAGUUGACGUUACCUUCAGAAGAAGCACCGGCUAGCUCCGUGCCAGCAGCCGCGGUAAUACGGAGGGUGCAAGCGUUAAUCGGAAUUACUGGGCGUAAAGCGCGCGUAGGCGGCUAGAUCAGUCGGGUGUGAAAGCCCCGGGCUUAACCUGGGAACUGCAUCCGAUACUGGCUAGCUUGAGUAAAGGAGAGGAGAGUGGAAUUCCACAUGUAGUGGUGAAAUGCGUAGAUAUGUGGAGGAACACCAAUGGCGAAGGCAGCGCCCUGGUCUGAUACUGAUGCGGAGGUGCGAACGCGUGGGGAGAAACGAGGAUUAGAUACCCCAGUAGUC
rnacentral:rRNA from 1 species